UUCCGAGGAGCCGCCAAUUAAACCACCGACCUGUUCUCAGCUCAGCCUCCCGUGCGCGAAAGCCUCCUGUUAUUUCACACCUGUCAAGAGCUGCGUCCCAGCAGAUUUAUCUUGAACUGACACUUGAGGGCACCGUGCCAGGUUCAAAAAAUGCCCGAGGCUGGGAAUGCCGGGGUGUCCUCUGGUGUCUGGAAGGAGGGACAGGGUCCAAAACCCCUGCCUGGGUGCCAGGACUGGGUCUGGAACAGUUCCUGUUGCAUUAUGCAGAGAUAAGCGAGGUAGGAAAGCCACCUGGAAGGAGGAGGGCAUAAAGCAAUUAAUGCAUAAUAUUAAUAAUGAUCUUCUUAUUCCAGCUCCGCUCAUUAUUACAAGCUUUGCUCUAGUCCACCAUGAUGUGCUGCAUAAAGCAGCUAUCUCCUGAAUCUGAUUUCCUGUUUGGAGAUGAUCUCUAGCUGAGAAAUUACCUGCUCUCAAAGCUGAUUAGAGUCCUAAUCAGCAGAUUCUUCACCAAGCCUUUAGACAGGCCCCAGAAUAUACAAGGAAUUCAGGAUAAUUUCCUGCACGUGCUUGAUCACCAUCCAGGCACGCCGAGAGGACGCCAGGGGAGCCAGCAGCAGCAGCCUGCCUUCCACGGCUGCCAAGGGUGGCACAGCCAGGGGGCUCGGGGCACGCUGGAGAGGUACCCCCGCAUCACCCGGGGGGCUCAGGGAUCUUCCUGGGGCUGUUUUCCCCCUGGGGAACAACACAGGAGGGGCCCAAUGUGCCAAAAGGCAUUUGGGGGACUCAACACCCCUCCACUUCGUCUCCCUUCGCACCCAGUCCAGCCCCGUUCCCAAAGCAGGGAGUUAUUUUCUCUCCACUGCUUCCAGAGCAUCGCAGCUCCCGUGGUUAAAAAGCGGCUCCUAAUUCCCAGCCUACAACAGCCAGCUUUAAACCUAUUUGUUCUCAUGCCAGCGCAGUCUUUUAGCUUAAAUGGUUCUUUUCUGUACCUGGUGUUUACUCGCCUGAUAUAUUUAUGGGGAGUAAUCAUCUCUCUGCUUUGCCUUCUUUUGUGGGGCUAAACAAGCCAAGUGCUUUCAGUCUCGCCUUAUAAAACAGCCUCUCCAUCCCGGCCAUGCUAACAGCUCUCCUCUGCACCAGCUCCGGCGUGAAUUCAUCCCACCGAUGGCCGGGUGCAUCGCCGGGUGCCCUGCGCGGUCACCAGCACCCUCUCCACCUCUGGAGCCCUCACCUCUGCGGUGCUGCGGGCUCUGUGCUCCCCUCUCUGCCCUGAGGCUGGCAGAGGACGCACGGACUCAUCCCACCGAACCCGGGGGGGCGAUGGCAUCACCAUGCUCUGGUGGUCACUAAUAACUUUACCUCUCCUGUGCUAUUCUCAGCAGAGAUAAACCUCCAGUGUCUGAUGAGCCAGAACAGAAAUAUCCAAUGGCUUCUCCUUUCUUUUUCUAUUUUUGCUGCGAGCUGGUUAACCCUGAAAUCCAAUUACUGCUCAUUAUUCGGUGGAACUUGCCUCUUAUCAAACGGGCACAUUGCGGGGCCGCUCUGCCAGCUCCGAGCGCUAAUGGAGCUGCAAAUUGCUGCAGCCACGCUGACGGACAGCCCAGCCUGAACCCGGGGCUGCCACCCCGCCGCCCCUAUACGUGGGGCUGCAGGACACCAGCCCCAGCACCCCAGCCCCGGGCUGCCCCUCGAUGCCAAACAGCAGGGACGUGCCCGCGGGCUGCGGGUGGGUGAGGCAAGCACAAGGGCGCACAGGGCUUGGGUGGGCUUAGCGAGCGAUGAGCAGCCUUUAAAGCUGCCAGGAUCCCCGGGCACGGUGCGAAAUGCACGGGGCUGACCCAGGCUCGCCGCGGGUUGGCCCGGGAGGCUCGGCACGCAGGGGAUGCGCUCUCUGCAUCAGAGCCAGGGAAGCGGGCACCCGGCCAAGCCCGAGCGCCGCCUCAUUCACAUUCGGUGCUGAAUUCAGCAGGUGGGAGAAAAAAAAAAAAAAAAGGAAAAGAAAAAUGCUUUGCAGUUUUCUUUGCUGAUUAAAGUCAUAGCACAGCAA